rnacentral:piRNA from 1 species
UCCUGCCAGUAGGUGGCGCUUUCCAGA